GUUUUCUUUUAUUCAUUUUUAGUUUAUUUUUCCAAGGUUUUUCACUAUUUAGUCAUUGUCAUUAAUUGUUUGUGUGAGGGAAAGUAACGAACAAGUGUGGGGUGUGGUGAAAUUGUGAUUGAAAAAUUCAAAAAAUUAUUUUAUGAAACAUAAUAGCCACGACGUGGAUGAGUUGUUUCCACGCCGUGGGCUACUGAGAUUUCCUGUAAUACACAGAUUUUCAAAACGUCGUGGUGUGCCCUCCAUCGCCACGAUGUGGGGACAAUUUUUACACAGUAAAUAGAUUUUAAACCCUAAUCAACCUAAUUUCACCUUUUACCCAACACAUGAAUUCUCCCACACCGUCAGCUUCUCUCACGACGAUUUUUUUGCCUUUUUCUCCCAAUUUCUUCAAGUUUUGUGCAAUUCAACCAACAAGGUAAGGGACCCCCUAAGCAACCUUUCCUGAAGUCAUGGCGCCUAGUGGUGGGAUCUAUACACUGAUAAGAGGAAACUUCUCCUGAGUUUGUUAUCUUUUUGGAUCAUUGCUACAAAUGAUUGCCGACAGAAGUUACUAAAGCUGGAUGGUGGACCACUAUUGCCAGUGGGGCAUACACCGCAGGAACUGCAAACGAAGGAAAUAUCAAAAAGAGCGGGCAUGAAAGAGCAGGACCGGGGCUCCUAUUUAUGGUGGAAUGUUGGUCACCAAAUUGGCUAGAUAUUUUGGGAUAUUUGAUGAGUCUGAGGCUAUGUUUUUUACGAGGAUGGAUGGCCACCAGUUGUAUCCAUGUUUAUUCAAGACCGCUUGUAUAGUGAAGGACUUGGGAAACGACACUUAUUUGGUACCAGUGGAUGACGCAAUUGAGGUGCCAGGGGGACGUCAGAAUGUGAGGUUGAUGGUGGAGGAUCGGGAUCCCAGAAAUGCAAACAUGUGUGACGGAUUGUCUCUUGAUCCAUAUCAUUUGAUGGCCCGACAAUAUGAUGACGACAUUGGUCGAGGUUUCAACUUCUUAGGUUAUUCUAUGAAGGCCAUUAUGCAUCACAUGUCGAUAGUUCCUUGACUGGAGCACCCACUCACUACACUUACAUACCUACAUAGGAGGAAAGAUGGACUGAGCAUACUAGUGGAGCAAGUGAUGGAGAUGACGAUGAUCUGGAAGAAUGAUUAUCCUUGGGUUUAUUUUUAUGCUUUAUUUUUGUUUGAUACUAUGUUUAUUUUUUUUUGGUGUGUUGGGAUUUGAGUAAUCUAGGAUAAUUGUAGUAUUUAUUUUAUGUUUGAUUUUCCUUUUAUUACGUGUUUUACUUUUGUUUCUCAGAAGUCAUGUUGGCAUCAAGUUCAGCGGGUUGAUAGGAGAGUGUGAUUUUGUUUCCAGAGAAACGUGACGAGAGCCUAAAUGAGGGGUACGACUUGCAAGUUAAGAAGAGUUUUGAGCGAGUUUUCGAGUUCGAUCGCCAUAAUAUCUGAAGAAAUUUAUAUAAAAUCAGAAUACAAGGGUAUGCCAUCCCAUCAUUACUUUUUUAUCUCAACCAGAAUCGCAGAGGACAGAAUACAAAAUUUUUCUGAAGUUCCAACAGCCACAACGUGGCAUCCCUAGCCCACGGCUUGGUCAUGAACAUUUUGUUAUCCGGUUUAUGACAUUAUUCAAAGACCACAACAUGAUUACGCAUUGUCGCACUGUGGGAGUCUCAAAUGCAAGUUAUGAUAGUUCGUUUUACCACUAUUUGGAGUCCGUUUUCUUGGUGCAUUAAAAAAUUAAUCAUGUCGAAGUCUAGAAGUAUUGUUUUCCAGCGAUUACAAGAGAUGUCAACCACACAACAUUCGAUUACGACAUCGCCACUUCUAUCCCAGCAACAAUGACAUGCUCGAAAUUAAAAGGAAGCAAAAUGUGGAGCUGGAAUCGGGAAUAUUGGACCAAGUCAACCAAAGUCAAAGAACUCAAGAAUUCUGAAGCCCACGACGUGGAGAUCAUUAGCCACACCAUGGUAAAGAUAAUAUUCACGAUCAAAGAAGCUGACUUGGGGAAUACGCAUGAUUAAAGAUCGACAUGACGUGAGCCUAUUUGGCACGUCUUGGGAGCUAGUUUUUGGAAACUAUAAAUACUUUGGUUCUGCCUUUAACCCUACCUUAUGCUUCAAGUUAUUCUCAACUUUUGAAGACCAAUGAUGUGCUAGAAGAAUGAGAGAUCUGAUUUAUCUUGAAGUUUAGUUUUGAAGAGAUUACAAGGCAACAUAACUUCUAAACCUCUGUUUACUUUGUUUUUCAUUAUGCUUUUCAAGGUGAACUUCGAUUUUGAUUGUUUGUUUCUAGUAGUUCUGGGCUAAAAAUCCUAACUUCUAUUUAGAGUAGAGGAUCAUUAUGACUAUGUGUUGGGUGAUUGGAUCUUGGAUUAUUGCUAGUUGCUUAUUUGUUAUGAUAGCUUGUUAACGACCCUUUUGUGUUAAUGAUAACUAUUUUUUCUGUUUAUUGCUUAUUUUUAUUGAAGUUAGAUGAUCA